rnacentral:rRNA from 1 species
GCGGCAGCUAUACCUGCAGUCGGACGGGAUCCGUCGGAGAGCUUGCUCGAAGACGGUGAGAGUGGCGCACGGGUGCGUAACGCGUGAGCAACCUACCUCUAUCAGGGGGAUAGCCUCUCGAAAGAGAGAUUAACACCGCAUAAUAUCAACAGUUCGCAUGUUCGGUUGAUUAAAUAUUUAUAGGAUAGAGAUGGGCUCGCGUGACAUUAGCUAGUUGGUAGGGUAACGGCCUACCAAGGCGACGAUGUCUAGGGGCUCUGAGAGGAGAAUCCCCCACACUGGUACUGAGACACGGACCAGACUCCUACGGGAGGCAGCAGUAAGGAAUAUUGGUCAAUGGGCGGAAGCCUGAACCAGCCAUGCCGCGUGCAGGAUGACUGCCCUAUGGGUUGUAAACUGCUUUUGUCCGGGAAUAACCCCUUCUACGAGUAGGAGGCUGAAUGUACCGGAAGAAUAAGGAUCGGCUAACUCCGUGCCAGCAGCCGCGGUAAUACGGAGGAUCCGAGCGUUAUCCGGAUUUAUUGGGUUUAAAGGGUGCGUAGGCGGCCAGUUAAGUCAGGGGUGAAAUACGGUGGCUCAACCAUCGCAGUGCCUUUGAUACUGACGGGCUUGAAUCCAUUUGAAGUGGGCGGAAUAAGACAAGUAGCGGUGAAAUGCAUAGAUAUGUCUUAGAACUCCGAUUGCGAAGGCAGCUCACUAAGCUGGUAUUGACGCUGAUGCACGAAAGCGUGGGGAUCGAACAGGAUUAGAUACCCUGGUAGUCCACGCCCUAAACGAUGAUAACUCGAUGUUGGCGAUAGACAGCCAGCGUCCCAGCGAAAGCGUUAAGUUAUCCACCUGGGGAGUACGCCCGCAAGGGUGAAACUCAAAGGAAUUGACGGGGGCCCGCACAAGCGGAGGAGCAUGUGGUUUAAUUCGAUGAUACGCGAGGAACCUUACCCGG